rnacentral:rRNA from 1 species
GACGAACGCUGGCGGCGUGCCUAAUACAUGCAAGUAGAACGCACAGUUUAUACCGUAGCUUGCUCCACCACAGACUGUGAGUUGCGAACGGGUGAGUAACGCGUAGGUAACCUGCCUGGUAGCGGGGGAUAACUAUUGGAAACGAUAGCUAAUACCGCAUAAUAUUAAUUAUUGCAUGAUAAUUAAUUGAAAGGUGCAAUUGCACCACUACCAGAUGGACCUGCGUUGUAUUAGCUAGUAGGUGAGGUAACGGCUCACCUAGGCGACGAUACAUAGCCGACCUGAGAGGGUGAUCGGCCACACUGGGACUGAGACACGGCCCAGACUCCUACGGGAGGCAGCAGUAGGGAAUCUUCGGCAAUGGACGAAAGUCUGACCGAGCAACGCCGCGUGAGUGAAGAAGGUUUUCGGAUCGUAAAGCUCUGCUGUAAGAGAAGAACGGGUGUGAGAGUGGAAAGUUCACACUGUGACGGUAUCUUACCAGAAAGGGACGGCUAACUACGUG